rnacentral:rRNA from 1 species
CCUACGGGUGGCUGCAGUGGGGAAUAUUGCACAAUGGGCGCAAGCCUGAUGCAGCCAUGCCGCGUGUGUGGAGAAGGCCUUCGGGUUGUAAAGCACUUUCAGCGGGGAGGAAGGCGUUAAGGUUAAUAACCUUGGCGAUUGACGUUACCCGCAGAAGAAGCACCGGCUAACUCCGUGCCAGCAGCCGCGGUAAUACGGAGGGUGCAAGCGUUAAUCGGAAUUACUGGGCGUAAAGCGCACGCAGGCGGUCUGUCAAGUCGGAUGUGAAAUCCCCGGGCUCAACCUGGGAACUGCAUUCGAAACUGGCAGGCUAGAGUCUUGUAGAGGGGGGUAGAAUUCCAGGUGUAGCGGUGAAAUGCGUAGAGAUCUGGAGGAAUACCGGUGGCGAAGGCGGCCCCCUGGGCAAAGACUGACGCUCAGGUGCGAAAGCGUGGGGAGCAAACAGGAUUAGAUACCCUAGUAGUC